UACCCAUAUAUGAUGCGACAUUGUUUUUCCAUUAAAUUUAUUGAAAUAUUGAAUGUUAAAAACAAAAUGUUAUUAGAAUUAUUAAAUAAAAUAAAAAUAAAAACAUUAAAAUAUAUUCUGCAAUUAUAAAAUAUAAAUAUUAAAUGUUAUAUGUCUGUUAUACGAAUCGCCCUACCUAAACAUUUUUUGUCCUUCCACCACAGAGAUAUGUGUUGUCUAGCAGGCCAUAAGAACGAUCAGUGGUAGAAGUCUUUUUAAGGCCUGACUAGUGUGCAGUUUUGUUUCAUUUCGUGCAUAAGUUCAUGAACAUGUUUCCUAAAAAUAAGUUCAUGGGCUUGUUUUUCAUGUUUGGACUUUUUCAUUUGUUUUUUUAGUUUAUGUUGUCUUUACUUAUCAUCGAAGC
rnacentral:lncRNA from 1 species